rnacentral:rRNA from 1 species
AGAGUUUGAUCAUGGCUCAGGAUGAACGCUAGCUACAGGCUUAACACAUGCAAGUCGAGGGGAAACGACAUCGAAAGCUUGCUUUUGAUGGGCGUCGACCGGCGCACGGGUGAGUAACGCGUAUCCAACCUGCCCAUCACUUGGGGAUAACCUUGCGAAAGUAAGACUAAUACCCAAUGACGUCUCUAGAAGGCAUCUGAAAGAGAUUAAAGAUUUAUCGGUGAUGGAUGGGGAUGCGUCUGAUUAGCUUGUUGGCGGGGUAACGGCCACCAAGGCGACGAUCAGUAGGGUUCUGAGAGGAAGGUCCCCCANAUUGGAACUGAGACACGGUCCAAACUCCUACGGGAGCA